AUUAGGUGGUCGGCGGAAUUGCUGAGUGUCAAAUUUACUUUGUUGAGUCUGUAAUUCUGUAGCCACUCCUGAGGUAUUUCAAUUCGUUGCAGAGUGAGCGCUUUUCUGGUUGUUACUUCUCUGACAUGAACAUGGUCAUUUUGGCGCCAACUGGAAGCGGCAAAACAGUGUUAUUUGAGCUAUGUAUCUUAAAGCUCCUUUCCUGGUUCCUUUCUCAGGAUGGAAGGUUCCUUCAUAUGAAGGGUACACUGAAAACAGUCUCGACGUUUUUUGUGCGCACUGACAAGACACUAGCCUUUUUUUAGAUCAAUUGAUGGUCGAUUAGGUUGAAUUUGUUAUUAGGUUGGUGGCUUCAGUGAGGAGACUUAUGAUGAGGAGCCUGAUGGAGAUGAUAUUGAUGCAGAACAUACAAUGGUUUCAACAGAUGAAAUUCUUUCUUUAG